AGAGUUUGAUCCUGGCUCAGGAUGAACGCUGGCGGCGUGCCUAAUACAUGCAAGUCGAGCGAACGGACGAGAAGCUUGCUUCUCUGAUGUUAGCGGCGGACGGGUGAGUAACACGUGGAUAACCUACCUAUAAGACUGGGAUAACUUCGGGAAACCGGAGCUAAUACCGGAUAAUAUUUUGAACCGCAUGGUUCAAAAGUGAAAGACGGUCUUGCUGUCACUUAUAGAUGGAUCCGCGCUGCAUUAGCUAGUUGGUAAGGUAACGGCUUACCAAGGCAACGAUGCAUAGCCGACCUGAGAGGGUGAUCGGCCACACUGGAACUGAGACACGGUCCAGACUCCUACGGGAGGCAGCAGUAGGGAAUCUUCCGCAAUGGGCGAAAGCCUGACGGAGCAACGCCGCGUGAGUGAUGAAGGUCUUCGGAUCGUAAAACUCUGUUAUUAGGGAAGAACAUAUGUGUAAGUAACUGUGCACAUCUUGACGGUACCUAAUCAGAAAGCCACGGCUAACUACGUGCCAGCAGCCGCGGUAAUACGUAGGUGGCAAGCGUUAUCCGGAAUUAUUGGGCGUAAAGCGCGCGUAGGCGGUUUUUUAAGUCUGAUGUGAAAGCCCACGGCUCAACCGUGGAGGGUCAUUGGAAACUGGAAAACUUGAGUGCAGAAGAGGAAAGUGGAAUUCCAUGUGUAGCGGUGAAAUGCGCAGAGAUAUGGAGGAACACCAGUGGCGAAGGCGACUUUCUGGUCUGUAACUGACGCUGAUGUGCGAAAGCGUGGGGAUCAAACAGGAUUAGAUACCCUGGUAGUCCACGCCGUAAACGAUGAGUGCUAAGUGUUAGGGGGUUUCCGCCCCUUAGUGCUGCAGCUAACGCAUUAAGCACUCCGCCUGGGGAGUACGACCGCAAGGUUGAAACUCAAAGGAAUUGACGGGGACCCGCA
rnacentral:rRNA from 8 species